GCUGCAAUUAUAGCUUUUGAACAUUUUGUUGGAAUUCGGAGAAUGUCCUUUCUCCCGGAAGAACUAUGGCGGCGAAUUCUAGAAAUCGGAAUCGAAAGCAGCGGUUUCAGCUACAAGGAUCUCUGCUGCGUCUCCAUCUCAUGCCGCCGCCUGCACCGCCUCUCCUCCGAGGAUCUUCUUUGGAACCGCCUUCUCUCCGCCGACUAUCCUCAACCCCAUCCUUCUUCUUCCACUUCUUCUAAAUCUCUAUAUAAAUUAAGGUUUGAGAGGGACAAGGAGAGGAGAAUAGCUGCUCAUAGGAGGGCUGUGUUGAGAAAAGAGAGCCAGAUUGCGGAACAUUCUAGAAAACUCAGAGAAAUUCAGACACGUGUUGCUCAAGAAACCGCCACAGCCACACAAACUGCUCAAGACUUGUCCAAUUUGCGUAGGGCCAGGCAAGCCUUUGUAGCUUUGAAUGUGUGGCAACCGGAGGUUGUCCGAAGUAGGCAAAAACAAAUGGUUGAGCAGAGUGCUGUCCCUGCUGAAUGUCGGAUACACGCUCUUGAGAUGGAACUAAAGCUUUGUAAGCAACAGAUUGCAGGGUUGGAGCUGUUCUAUAAAGAUGAAAAGCGCAGGCUUGAUACUGCAAAAGAAGAGUUGGCGUCUAUGAAGUAUCACCCUAUGGAGGAGCGUAAGACCAUAAGCCAAAGGGAUAAUAAGCAUGUCAAGCGGAAAAAGCUUAAAAUAUGCAAUAGCUAAUUUGCUUUUGGUAAAAACACAGGCAUUGUUUGAUCCAUGUAACUGAUCACAAAUGGAAAACAUUGCAUCGGUUGAGGUGUUGAUGAAAUUUGCUCAUCCUUCUUCCAUUGAAACUUGGACAGUGUUCUGUCCAUUAAGACUGACUGCAAAUUCUGUGAUCACUGUACGGAGAAUGUAUUAGCAAUACGUAGUGAAAGCCUGAGGGUAUCAAAGUUAAAUCAUUAUGUGUAACUUGAGUUCAGAUGACCCCUUGUUCAUUCGAUUGUAGCCUUUGGACUCGUGGAAACCUUUAAGUUUGAGGAAAGCUUGAUCAAAGGAUGGAGUGUAUCAUAUGCAGAUCAAGAAGUACUAUUAAUGAAGUAUCUAAAUUUAAAAAAUAAAAUUAUAAGGGCUUCACGUGUGGUA